GUUCUUGCUGUGAAAUUCACCUCUGCUCUGUUGCAGGAUGUGUCUGCGCUGUUCAGCUCAACAAGUGACAGUUCAUGGACGUGUUUAAAUGUUAACAGAAGUUCGAAGGUGUUUUCACAGAGGUGCUACUGCUGUUGGUGAUCAGAUCUGCCUUGGAGCCAUCUGGCUUUGCCGGUACUGGACUCAGAAGAAGCUUCUGGAAGCCACCCCUGAAGUCCCUCUGCUACUGAAAUCCAGUCUCACAAACCCAACAUACACACAUAAGACCCAUUCACAAUGAACACGUGGAUUUACCUGAGAGAAGAAGUUCUCCUCAAAUCCUUUGUCCUGCUCCUCAUGGAUUCCAAAGGCUCAAGGAGUGUGCCUCCACUCCUACAGGUUCUGUGCG